AGCAGCCGCGGUAAUUCCAGCUCCAAUAGCGUAUAUUAAAGUUGUUGCAGUUAAAAAGCUCGUAGUUGAAUUUCGAGAUCAAAUUGUUGGUCGUGCCUCGGUACGUACUGGCAUUAUUGAUUUCUCCCUUCUGAAGAACCUUGAUGUCAUUAAUUUGGUGUCUUGGGGAAUCAGGACCGUUACUUUGAAAAAAUUAGAGUGUUUAAAGCAGGCUCACGCUUGAAUACAUUAGCAUGGAAUAAUGAAAUAGGACGUUUGAUUCUAUUUUGUUGGUUUCUAGGAUCGACGUAAUGAUUAAUAGGGAUAGUUGGGGGCAUUAGUAUUCAAUUGUCAGAGGUGAAAUUCUUGGAUUUAUUGAAGACUAACUACUGCGAAAGCAUUUGCCAAGGAUGUUUUCAUUAAUCAAGAACGAAAGUUAGGGGAUCGAAGACGAUCAGAUACCGUCGUAGUCUUAACCAUAAACUAUGCCGACUAGGGAUCGGAUGAUGUUAAUUUUUAAUGACUCAUUCGGCGCCU
rnacentral:rRNA from 1 species